UUGUGCAUUUAUGCAUGUGUGUGUGUGUGUGUGUGUACUUAAACACAUGACAGGGUGAACUAUGUGCUUAAAUACACACACACACACACACA